CCAAACUUGGUCAUUUAGAGGAAGUAAAAGUCGUAACAAGGUCUCCGUUGGUGAACCAGCGGAGGGAUCAUUACAGAGAGAGUUGAAAAACUCCCUAAACCCACUGUUAACUUACCUUGAGUUGCUUCGGCAGGCCGUCCCAGGGCGGGAUGCUUGGCCUGUAAAGGCGCCUGCCGGAGGACACGCAAACUCUGUUUAUAGUUGGCUGUCUGAGUGAAAUCAAAUAAAUCAAAACUUUCAACAACGGAUCUCUUGGUUCUGGCAUCGAUGAAGAACGCAGC
rnacentral:misc_RNA from 1 species